rnacentral:lncRNA from 1 species
CACCUUUCGAAGGUGUUGUAAAUUGUUCUUGAAAAGUUCAAAACAGUUGGUUCUUCUACUUGAAUGCUUGAUUUCGUAUUAGUAACUAUGUUUUACAAUCAUUGUAAAAGUGUGGCUAAUAAAAGGUAGAAGAUUAAUGAGAGAAGAGAAAGUACUUCACAUUCGGAACGUGAAUCAAAUGUAGAUCUCUGCGAAAUCAGAUGGUACUUACUUCCUCAUAUGAACUACCAAAGAAAUUGGAAAAACCAAAGAUUGUCUUUACAUUCCAAUUUUAAGGAACUUAAUUCCAUCACUAUAAGGGAUGGAUGAAUGUUUUGUUUGACAAAACAUUGUUCUUUAUUAAUGAUUGAUUAGAUUAUUGUAAUCUAAUUGAUUGUCUCUAUAUUAGAGAUGAUAUGGUAGUGUUAACUGUUUAGAAUAUAAUGAUGCUUAAAACCCAAAAGGUUGCAAGGUAGUGACUAAUCCCAACUGAGUUGUGAUACCUCAAAAACAUAAAAUACGAGUUGGUCAUAGAUGGAUGCUUUGGAAGAUCCGGAUCCAAUGCCUUCUUGUUAAAAUUGUAUAGAGGCAAAAUGUUUGAAUCUUUAUUCUUUUGGAAAGGAAGAAAGAAUCACAAAGUUGUUGAGGUUAAUUCACUUAGAUGUUAGUGGCACUUGUCCACAACAUAAUACUACUCAUGUUGUAUGACAUUCACCGAAGAUCGCUCUCGGUUGGACUAUCAUUUAUUUUGAAUAAACACAAGUCCGAAUACUUUGCAAAAGGUUUCAAAGAAUUCAAGAAAUGUAAGUUGAUGAGUAAGAUGUCUAAAGUAUUUACCUCUUUAGAUUUGAUCCAAGGGAAGGUAACACUUUAGAACAGUUUCCUUGAAAGAUAUCAAGGAAAGAAGCAUCAUAUGAUAAUGGAUUUCUCCAUUAAGAGAAGAACGAACUCGAAUAAGAUUUAGUUCGUUGGAUGUUAUCAAUUACCCAUAUAUAGGAUAUAUACUUCUAAAACAAUAUGAUUGUCAAUUAGAAGAUCUACCAAAAUUUUCAUGACUCCAUAGGAUAUAGUUGGAAAGAAAGACAAAUCUUAAUCAUGUUAAGAUUUGGGGUUGUGUGCUAAUAAGCAAUAUUUGUUUAAAAAUUAUCUUGUGGGUAUCCUUAAAUUAACAUUUGGAUAUCACUUCUAUAAACCAACUAACAAAUGUUGUUUGUUGGGUAGUUCAUUGUAAUCCUACACUAGGAUUUGCCUAAGAUAGAGCAAAUGAAUGAGGGAUAGAACUCAAAGAAUGGGUUCUUUGAGAAACAAGAUAGUGAUCAACAAAUAUAACAACCUAGUUCCUAUACCACAAGCUCCAAGGUAGUCGAGAAGGAUUUAUAAACCGUCUCAGUUGAAUGGUUUAAACUUUAUGACUAUGUCAUAGAGUUGCACCUUUUAAUUCGAAAGAAAGAAGAAUGAAAAUCCUUAUGACUACAUUGAGUGUAUAUACGAUAUAUACUCAAGGAAAUGGUAAAGUACCAUUUGACCCGAAAUAAUGAAACCUCCAUAGCUAAUUGGUAGCUUAAGGUGACUACAAUUAAAGAGAUUGGUUGACUUGGAAGAAACCAUCUUUGACGUAGUCUUGGUUUCAAUUAAUUCGAAGAUUGCUAGCUACAACUAAAUGGUGAUUCAAUGUUCGGACAUAAUAUGGGUUUCCGAAACCAUUAUUAAGAUAGUCCUGAUAAUAUAUGUCUAAAACUAUGAAUCACAAGACAUGUAAUUUGUAGAGAUCCAACCAUCAUGGAUCUUAGCAAGCUAGUGGGAGUUAUAAGCGUCUUAUGAGAGAAAGAUCAAAUCAAUUGAUUUCUCAUAAAGAUGUAAAUUAAUCUUUUGUUUACUAAGUUUACAAAAGAUUAGUGGGAGUUAAUCAUAUUCCUAAAAUUGAAUAUAUAUAGUAUAUUAAUUUUGGAAAUGAAAAGAAUACUUCUUCGUUAAUGAUAGAAUGUAUAAGGGAGACAUAGUCUAUAAACAUGGGAUGUAAAUCUAUAAUGAUAGAUUUCAGGAUAUAAUUGGAUUAUAUCAAGCCCUAAUGAUAGACAAAAGAUGCUAGAAAGUUUCUCAUAUGAUGAUAAACUUCAAUCAGAAGAACAACUCCAGUAAGACUAGGAGGUAGCUCUUCUCAAAGGGAACAUACGCUUUGACUCCCAAAGAAAUAAUGCGUAUAUAGAAUCCUUUAUGCAUACGCAGAAAAAUGAUUUACGUAGUUCAUAUUAUAUGAAAACAUUGAUAUGAGUUGUACCUAGAACGGUACAACACGAUAUCAGUGCAAGCCCAGGAUCAGAACCAUGGUAAUUGUCAAGUGAGUCCUUAAGUAUUUAAGAAAUACUAAAGGAUAGAUUCCUCAAACAAUGAGGAAUAAUUAGAGUAACGAAAUGGAAGCGUAAAUGUAUUAGAUUAUGAAUCUAAUCCAUCAUUGGAUGUUUCUUCAUUUUGAAUGAAGAGAUAAUCAGAUAUCUCUUUAUUAUGACUAAAGGGAUAUUUGGAUGGAAACAUUAAAAGUAAUGACUUUAGUGUGUUCCAUUGUGAAUGCAAAAUAUAUUGCCAUAUAGAAGCUUACAACAAUGUUGUUUGGAUGGGAAAGUUCAUUUAUGAACUCUCUAUUCGGUUCCAACCAGAAAGUGUCUCUAGUGUACCGACACUACGACACUAAUGGGGCGAUAGCUCAAGCCAGGGAAUCAAGGUCUCAUCACGAUCCGAACUCAAAUGAGAGACUGAACCACAUGAUUGAAAAUCAUGUAUAAUGGUGACGUCGUUAUUCUCAAGUUUGCUUCUAUGGAUAACAUAUAGAUAUCCAUUGUCUAGGCCUACUACUCAGCCAUUUUUGAAAUGACUACAGAAGAGGUAUCAUCACUAAUGACCAAGCUGAUUGGCUCUAGUGCAAGUGGGAGAUUGUUGGAAAUGUGCCCUAAAACCAAUCAUAUGAUGAUACUUUACGGACAUUUCACAUGUUAAACUAAUCUAGUUUAAUAUCAAGGGCAUAGAUUAUUGUUUUAAGCCGUCUCAUAUAAAUGUUAUAUGCUUAAACAAUAAGUCCAAGGAAUAUGUAAUUAGGAGAAUGUAAUUUAAACAAGUUAGAUUUAUGAGACCACUCUCUUUCGUAUACAUAUCCUAAACGUUCCUGAUCAUAGGAUUGCCAAUUGGGCAUUGACAAUCCGUUAAGAUCAGUAUGUGCUAUGUCUUCUCUUAGUGAGAGUGACUGGUCUCGA